UAGGAGGCAAGCGUUAUCCGGAAUGACUGGGCGUAAAGGGUGCGUAGGUGGUUUGUACAAGUUAGUAGCGCAACUCCGGAGCUUAACUUCGGAACUACUACUAAAACUGUUGGACUUGAGUGCAGGAGGGGCAAUCGGAAUUCCUAGUGUAGCGGUGGAAUGCGUAGAUAUUAGGAGGAACACCAGUGGCGAAGGCGGAUUGCUAGACUGUAACUGACACUGAGGCACGAAAGCGUGGGGAGCAAACAGG
rnacentral:rRNA from 1 species